UCAAAAGGCAAAGCAGGGUAUACUUGUUUCAUUAGCUGCAGCAUUGAACAAAUUAUAUAACCAAAUAAAAAUGGUCAUCUCUUCCUAACCUGAGAGCAUUGUUAAUUUCACCAUUAACUAUUCAAAGACUAUGACCCGAAGUGAAAGGAGAGCAACAACUGGGCCCCUCUACUUAUGGUAAAAGAUAGUCCACUUUAAGUUCAAAUGAAGACCAAAAUUCUACUUCCUUGCCUGCAGAUUAUUGAAUAAUCUGAUACAUCAAAAUUCAUUAUCCAACAUAAGCAAAUGAUCGAAUAUGUCAAACCUAUAAUCUAGAGAGAGAGCAAGCGAAAUGGGUCUCCUCUUCUAUUUCCCACGGCAUUUCGCCAAUGAUAGAGACAAUACAAAUCAAAAGCCCUCAACUAGUUGAUCUUUCAUCGUAUUGAAAAGAAUAUUACAACCAGGCAAAUUACUUAAGCUGAAUCAAGUUCCGAUUCAAGUAUUUCGCGGGAAUUCCUCCUCUCCUAGGCCACAUUUUCUUGACAAACAGAUUGCAUGUUUUGCGAGAAACAAUUUAACAUCCUAAAAGAGAGAUCCAUAAAAUCAAGAAAAAAAAACUACGUAAAUUUAUAAAAAAUAAAUAAAAUUGUGCACCCGCUUUUCGAUGGCGGCAGCAUUUUGAGCAGCAUCGAGUAAAUGUUGAGGCUGAAGCAAGAGCCCUUCUCUUCGCUUCUUCAAAAGAU
rnacentral:misc_RNA from 1 species